AAUCCACCUGAAUUGGAUAUGAUCACCCGCUGAACUUAAGCAUAUCAGUAAGCGGAGGAAAAGAAACCAACAGGGAUUUCCUUAGUAACGGCGAGUGAAA
rnacentral:rRNA from 1 species